rnacentral:ncRNA from 1 species
AGGUGGAAUCUAAAGGAAGCCGGAUUCAGGGGAACCUACUAACCCGAGGGCAAACCUCUGGCCUGACGAACAGAAAUCAUUUACAGGCUGCAAACGAGGGUAAGGCUGCUAGACAAGACGAAGCCCGAUAACUACACGGAAUCGUUUGUAGUAGAAAUGGCAGGUAGAUGGAGGGAAAGAAAC